rnacentral:rRNA from 1 species
CCUACGGGGUGCAGCAGUGGGGACUAUUGGGCAAUGGGCGCAAGCCUGACCCAGCAACGCCGCGUGAAGGAAGAAGGCUUUCGGGUUGUAAACUUCUUUUAAGAGGGAAGAGCAGAAGACGGUACCUGAGGAAUAAGCCACGGCUAACUACGUGCCAGCAGCCGCGGUAAUACGUAGGUGGCAAGCGAUAUCCGGAUUUAUUGGGUGUAAAGGGCGUGUAGGCGGGAGCGCAAGUCAGAUGUGAAAACUCAGGGCUCAACCCUGAGCCUGCAGUUGAAACUGUGUUUCUUGAGUGCUGGAGAGGCAAUCGGAAUGCCGUGUGUAGCGGUGAAAUGCGUAGAUAUACGGAGGAACACCAGUGGCGAAGGCGGAUUGCUGGACAGUAACUGACGCUGAGGCGCGAAAGCGUGGGGAGCAAACAGGAUUAGAUACCCGUGUAGUC